rnacentral:rRNA from 1 species
AUUGAACGCUGGCGGCAGGCCUAACACAUGCCAGUCGAGCGGAUGAAGGGAGCUUGCUCCUGGAUUCAGCGGCGGACGGGUGAGUAAUGCCUAGGAAUCUGCCUGGUAGUGGGGGAUAACGUCCGGAAACGGGCGCUAAUACCGCAUACGUCCUGAGGGAGAAAGUGGGGGAUCUUCGGACCUCACGCUAUCAGAUGAGCCUAGGUCGGAGUAGCUAGUUGGUGGGGUAAAGGCCUACCAAGGCGACGAUCCGUAACUGGUCUGAGAGGAUGAUCAGUCACACUGGAACUGAGACACGGUCCAGACUCCUACGGGAGGCAGCAGUGGGGAAUAUUGGACAAUGGGCGAAAGCCUGAUCCAGCCAUGCCGCGUGUGUGAAGAAGGUCUUCGGAUUGUAAAGCACUUUAAGUUGGGAGGAAGGGCAGUAAGUUAAUACCUUGCUGUUUUGACGUUACCAACAGAAUAAGCACCGGCUAACUUCGUG